AUACCAAUACAGGACUCUUUCGAGGCCCUGUAAUUGGAAUGAGUACACUUUAAAUCCUUUAACGAGGAUCUGUUGGAGGGCAAGUCUGGUGCAGAGCGACUGACCCGUGCGUGCUGCAGCUGAAA